rnacentral:rRNA from 1 species
UGCCAGCCGCCGCGGUAAUACGUAUGGUGCAAGCGUUAUCCGGAAUCACUGGGCGUAAAGGGAGCGUAGGCGGUUUUGCAAGUCAGAAGUGAAAGGCUACGGCUCAACCGUAGUAAGCUUUUGAAACUGCAAGACUAGAGUGCAGGAGAGGCAAGUGGAAUUCCUAGUGUAGAGGUGAAAUUCGUAGAUAUUCGGUGGAACACCAGUGGCGAAGGCGGCUAACUGGACUGAUACUGACGCUGAGGUGCGAAAGUGUGGGGAGCAAACAGGAUUAGAUA